rnacentral:pre_miRNA from 1 species
GAUUUCAACUAAAAUGUCAUCAACAACAAAGUUUUAUAACUCAUCAAAAUCUAUAACUUUUAUUUUGGUCAUUUCUUCAUCCGAUAAAGUGAUAGUAACAUUGUUCACAAAAUUCAUAUAUCUCUCAUUUGGUUUAUAAACCAUAACACAGAUAUGUAAAAUUUGUGAAUAAUAUUACUAACACUUUAUCGGAUGAAUAAAUGACAAACAUAAAAGUUAUAGAUCUUGGUGAGUUAUACAACUUUGUUGUUGAUGACUUUUUUUAGUUGAAAUC